rnacentral:rRNA from 1 species
CUACGGGAUGCAGCAGUGAGGAAUAUUGCACAAUGGGGGGAACCCUGAUGCAGCAACGCCGCGUGGAGGAUGACGCAUUUCGGUGUGUAAACUCCUUUUAUAUGUCAAGAAAAUGACGGUAGCAUAUGAAUAAGCACCGGCUAACUCCGUGCCAGCAGCCGCGGUAAUACGGAGGGUGCAAGCGUUACUCGGAAUCACUGGGCGUAAAGGACGCGUAGGCGGGUUGGAAAGUCAGGUGUGAAAUCCUACAGCUUAACUGUAGAACUGCACUUGAAACUUCUAAUCUAGAGUAUGGGAGGGGGAGAUGGAAUUAGUGGUGUAGGGGUAAUAACCGUAGAUAUCACUAGGAAUACCUAAAGCGAAGGCGAUCUCCUGGAACAUUACUGACGCUAAGGCGUGAAAGCGUGGGGAGCAAACAGGAUUAGAUACCCCCGUAGUC